UUGGUCACCAGUUUUAUCAAGCGUUAAUGACAACCCAUUAACAACCCAGAAUAAGAAUCAUAUUUUUUCUUUUCUUUUUCAGUCAACAUAAAAAGUCAAAUAAGAUUAGAUAAGAUAAGGGAAGGAUCUGAAAACCAGCCCAUAUAUUUACUGAUUUUUCUAUAUUUAGAGAAAAGGGAAAUUUGUGUCAAGAUUUUCAUAUUCUUCUGUUUGAGAAUUCAACCUUCAACAUAAAAAUGAUUUACUCAUAAUACACAAGUGACCCAGCUCAAGCAAAACUAUUGCUAAAUUGUUGCCAAAACCUUUUUGCAAUAUCUUCUGCUGUUUAGAUGAACCUAUAUAAACUCUGUACAUAUUGUAAACUAAGUUCUGUUUUUUAUAUCUACACAGUGAAAUACAACUCAAUUUACCAACACUCUUUUUCUUCAAGUAAGUUAAAACUUUUUAUCUUAACAGAAACACUGAUUUUCUGUUUAGGUUAGAAACCUACAAAAAUUAUUACUCCAAUUCUUAUUCUUCAAUUAUUCUUAUAUGAGAACUUAUCAUCUCAUUAUCAUUAAAAGAUUUUCUUUUUAACAGUCUUUGGAGGGGUUGGACAGGAAUCCACGGGUUGGAACAGGGUUUCGUGGGGUUGGAACAGGGUUCUGCAAACUGCCUGGGUUCGGACAGGAUAUUGUGGGGCUCAUGGCCACAUGGCCCCUGCUCCCUCGUACAAUAGGUGGAAACACAGAAUGUGUACAAUCUUAGUUCAGCUGUAUCUACGUAAUAAGUGUCCACUCAGUGUUGUGCUGUUUUAAAAUUAGGCAUUUGAUCUAUUCCCAUUUUUUACUAUAUAGAAUAUGUACAUUUCCAAUUGUUGCGUGCCUUAUAAACCACAUUAGAAUGUAUCAAUAUAAUUUGUCUGACAAAAUUAUAAAUUGAAGUGAUAAUUUUAGACUGUGCUUAUCUUUUAGUGAAGUCAGUGUAAUUUUGUGUUCCUUAUUUUCUGUUUUUACACUUUUUCAUUUCAAGUCCCCAUGACUAAAUAAAGGAGCCAAAGGGAUUGAAACUGAUAUUGUAAACAACCAUAUAACAUUGUAAUUUUAAUAUAUUAUGUUAAAACAUAUUUUAGAAAUGUUUAAUGACAUACUCAGGGAAGUCCUCUGGAAAUGUUUAACUGAGAUUAAACCCCCAGGUCUGGGGGAAGUACAGGCAAAAAGAAAAGGGGGGAAGAACUUGUUUUGUGUCUAGAUGCUGUCCUCUCCCUGGGACAUCCAGGUUUCAUCCCCUCUGAACAAGAAGACAAAUUAUGGCUUAAUGCUUUAAAAAUCGAAGGAGACAACUGAAAUUGGAGAUAAAUGUGCUCUACAUUUAAUUUUUAAUAAAUUAUUUUUGUA